GCUUCUCUUCAACCCGCCGUCGUCGUUCGUCUCACAGCAGCCAUCACCCACCGGCCACCACCGGCUUGCCCGCAGCUCGCCGGCAAGAUCCUCCGACGCUUGAUUAGGCGACCAGCUGCAACCCACCCCGUAAGAAUAUAAACCCUGGAGAGGAUCCAACUCCAACCGCGCGACGAUGCCGUCGGCAUCGGGUCCCGUAGCCAUGGCAGCGGCGGCGAAGCCCGCCCCCGACGCCGGCCCGGAUGUCGGGAUAUUGCCGGGGCUAUACCCGUCGGAAGACGACCUUCGGAGGAAUCCACAUAAUUUGGAGGGGCAAGGAGGGUGAAGCUUUUUGAGAAGGAUCCUGCAAGGCAAGUAACCACAUAUGUUGAGGCUGUGAAAACUUUGGAGUGUGUGGACCCAAUGAAGGCACUUGGGAAGCCCCAUACUCUAUAUGGGUGUCAUUUACAAAGAUGUAUGGGAAACAUAACCGUGUAGAUAGUGCUGAAGGCUCCUCCAGAUGAAAAGAAGGCCUUAUAUUUACAAUGGGCUAAACUUGAGGAAGACUACGCCGUUGCUAACGUGCCAUGAAUAUAUAUGAUGUAUCUGUAAGGGUAGCUUCUAACAGUGAAAAAAUUCUGUUCUCUCCAGUUUACCAAUGUUUAUGAUGUCCUUUUUUAGAAUACCUAAAGGAGUUCUGAAAACACUGGACUAUUAUAGAUCUAGAUUUUUCUGGCAAAGUGAUGAACACAAAAAGAAAUAUAGUUGGCCAAAUGGAGUAUCCUCUGUGCACCAAAAAAUGUAGGAGGUUUGGGUAUAUCCAAUCUGGAAGUUCUAAAUAGAUGCUUGCUAAGCAAGUGGUUAUUUAAACUUCUAAAUGAGGAUGGAGUAUGGCAAAAGCUUCUUAGAAGAAAAUAUCUAGUGAACAAGGCCCUAUCUCAAGUGACAAGGAAAAGGGGGGAUUCACAUUUUUGGGCUGGCCUCAUAGAAAUAAAAGACCAAUUCUUGUCAAUGGGUACUUUUGAGGUACACAAUGGGAAAAAGGCCAGAUUUUGGGAAGAUGUUUGGAUUGGAAAGGUAACAUUGAGGGAAAGAUAUACAUCUUUGUAUAAUAUAGCCAGAAGGAAGGAUGAUACUGUGGCCAAAAUUUGUGGAUCAGUCCCUUUGAGUGUCUCUUUUAGAAGAGCAUUAACAGGUCAUAGAUUAAAUAAAUGGCUAGAAUUAGUGACAGAGAUUGCUACUCACGGUAUAGAUGAACAGGAGGACAAAUUUAUAUGGAAUCUGAAUAAAAACAAAGUUCACAGUAAAAUUAAUGUACAUGAAGAUAAUGCAAGCUGAAGGAGUACCAUCCAUGUGUGUGACUUGGAAACUUAAACUACCACUAAAAAUCAAAAUCUUCUUAUGGUAUUUGAAAAAAAGGUGUGAUUCUAACAAAGGAUAACCUUGCUAAGAGGAGAUGGCAAGGAAGCACCAUGUGUUGCUUUUGUAAUUCAGAAGAGACAAUGCAACACCUCUUCUUUGAUUGUCAUCUUGCCAGAUUUCUUUUCGUUUGGAAUUCAACCGCCUGUUAGUGUCUCUAACUUGCUGGGUUCUUGGACUAGAGUAUAUCCUCGAAAAAUUAGGAACCAGAUGAUUAUAGGAGCUACUGCACUUUGCUGGGCGUUAUGGUUGAAUAUAAACGAUUUACUGUUCAAAGGCACGAUCACUAACUCCUUUUUGCAGGUAAUCUUUAGAGGGACACAUUGGACAAGAACAUGGGCAGUGCUAUCAAAGGAGGAAGAGAAAAUUGAUCUAAAGAAAAAUUGCAGCAGGUUUGAAGUAACUGCUAUGGAGUUCUUCAACAAGUAUGGCUGGAACUUUAGGAGGCGAAUUCUUCAAUAGCUGCGCAUCAGCUCAGUUGGUGGAGAGUUGUAUCAGAACUCUGAGUGCUGUUUGGAGGGUUGGAGGGUUUGCCAGUAGUUUGUUUUGGUGUGAUCCUUAAGUCAUUGCUCGAAUGUUGAGCUUCUGUCAGGUCUUGAGUCAUGGCGUAAAUGCUGAGUUUCUGUCAGGUCUUGAGUUAUAGCUUAAAUGCUGAGUUUCUGUCAGGUCUAUGUAAGUUGGCUAUAGGCAUUCAUUCGUGGAUGGCCGAGGCCGGAUGAUUUUAUCCUUAAUCUAAAAAAACAGUGAAAAAAUGGCCA